rnacentral:lncRNA from 1 species
CCUCUGAAAUUUCUGUUUUUGAAGAAAAAGAACACAGAUCUCUUUAUGGCAGCAGAUGAUGCGCAUGUUUGUAGAAUGCCUAGUGCUCGGGAUUGCUUUGGGCCGAAUUCAAGCGGCAUUGAACCACGCAAAGUUUACUUCAACCAUACUGAUACAGUUGAACGCAGAGAGUAUGGCCCCCCUGCUGGUGCUAAUUUUAUGCCACCAAGCCCUCGCAAUCCGCAAGAACGAACUCCGACUUGUCUUGGGAUUGAAAUAAAGUAAGGAACUAGCUUUGGCUACAAUUUAAUUUUUUCUGUUUCAGUUGAAUUUGUUUGAUUUUCCCAUAUCAUGACAAAAUAGUUUGAUUUGUUGAUUGAAAACCUCUUCUUUCAUUUCGUGUCAUAUCAUGAAUUUGUUUCAGUUGAAUUUGUUUGAUUUUCCCGUAUCUGGCUACUUGGUUGUUGAUGUUGCGAUAUUUGGCGUUGGAUCUUUUGAAAAUAUUCUAGUAUAAGAAUUCCUGAUUCCCCAAAGCCGUAUCCUUACAGGCAGAGCUGAUGCUUUUACCUACCUUCAGAUUUAUUUUAUUUUUAUUUUCUAUGUAUUUCAUGUUUCACCUUCUCAAAGCUAUGCCUCAAUUUACAACCUAGAAAGCAAAUUGGAAUCCAACUGUAUGAUUAAUAAAGUUUAAGUUUUUAAAUUUGGUUCAAAGCAUGCGAUUCGUGGUCUGGUGAGUCAAUUUUUCAAUUGAGGAAUAGAUGUGGUGCAUAUCCUCAACUAUUUUCCAUUUGAUGGAUGGAUGAUGGCUCUGAGGUUCUAAUCUUUAUGAUUUAUGAGUUUGAAACUGACAGGUCUAUAUUAUGGGAAAUUUUUGGGAUACAAGCUGUUUGGGCUGGGUAUGAACUUAAUGGUGUCACAUACUGAUUUUCUCAUUGUAUUUUGCCCAGUGUUCUUCCUGAAUGUAUCUCAUUGAGUGUUUCCUUUUAUGGGGUUUUUUUUUUUCUUCUUCAUGUAAAUCCUAUUUAGAGUGUUGUGUGAAAAUCAAUCUCUUUCAACCCUCUAAAUACCUCCUAAUAUACCCAUUUUUGCUUUGAUACUUGUUCAUUGUAUGGUUAAUGCUUGUGAAUUCAAAGGAAAAGAUCCAAUGCAGGUCUUUCUCCCCAGUGGUGCAUAAUGUGUUGGGUAAUCACAACUGCAUGUAGUUCAUUUUUUGUGAGACCCAUGGAGUUAAGUAGGUCAAAGUUUAAGGAAACUGCCUUGUGCUAACUGUGUUUGUGUAAUUUGGACUCAUUAGUUGAUUUUUGAGAAUCAUAGUGGGGAGGGAGGAAAGGUGUUAUGGGGAUAAAGGGAUAUUCGGUCUUUACUUUGAGCUUCUAUGACUGGAAAAUUUGGGACAUUUCAUUUUCUUCAACGAUAGAAGCUGUUAGGAUUUGGAUAUAAACGCAAAGGCUUUUUUGCAAAUUUUGCCCCCUACAUUAUAUGGUCAUUGUCGAUGACUCCUUAAUUAGUUUUUUAAGAAACUUUGGGCCUAGACUAUUUUAAUUAGCCAAUUUAAACCCCCACCAUUAAGUUUCUACACAUUUCAUCCGAUUUUGAUCUAAUAGUGUCACUCGAUGGGCACUUGUGACACUUUAUAGAGCCAAUUGGUCUUUUCAAGCCAGGGUUGAACUGAUUUUGAAGUAUUUAAGAUCUUUUACACACCAACACUUCAGAAUCAGUUACAAGUUGGUGUUGAAAAGAACAAUUUAUCUUCAGAAGUGUUACAGGUGACAUAAUUGGGUGGCAAAUUGGAUGGAAUGUUUAGAAAUUUGACGGUGGGGAUAAAUUGGCUAAUUAAAAUAGUUAGAAGUCCCAAAAUUUCCAAAAGAAUAAUUCAGGGGGGAAAUUUACUGUGGCCUAUAUAAUUCAGGGGUGAAUUGUAAAAUUUCUCUAAACUCAAUGUGGUUACCUUACCUACUGAUUUUGGAAGGUAUUUCGUUCAAUUUUCAUUUGUAGUAAAAUGAAUGUUCUUCAUAAAUGUGACUCUUUGCUCCUGUGGUUCAUAUUGUGAGACAAUUCUCCGUUUUAGAGUACUUGUACUAGCGGAUCCAUUAAGGGUCCAGUGAAGGCACUUGCCUUCACUUAGUCAUGUUGUUUACCUAUCUGUGUGCCAAGUUUUCAUAAAACAUUUUGUGGAAUGAUGGCAAGAUGUUGAUAAAAUGUCUCAAAGAAGACUAAGGCAGGGGAAGUGGGUCAACCUCUACCCCUCUACUUAUGUUAUUCUUCUGGUUCUCUCGACUCACGCUUCUCAUUAUUCUCUUUGUGUCGUGCAGUAGAGAAUUAGGUAGAAGGUUUAGAUUUUGUAGUAUCUAAUUUGUGCAUGGAUAUGUUUAUAUGAUGUGUUUUUUGACAUUUAAGAGUCGACUUAUCUUCACUAUUAGUAGUAGUGUAUUUUUCUCCGGGAAAGAAACUUCCUGGAUCUGCCACUUGUGCUUGCCCUUGAAGGGUAGUAGCCAAUACAUGAUUUGGCAUAUGCUGCUUUCAGUAGUUUUAUUAUCCUAAGCUGUGAACUUUUUAGCGUACCAGGUCACUUAUUCUUUCAUUUUAUGACACCUCCUGAUGUGAUAUUCUUAAACUGUGCAUUUUGUCAUGUCUUGCUAAUCUCAAAUUUUGGCUUUGCAGGACAUUGUUAAAGAUCUUUAGGGCUCGGAAGGAACAAGGAAAGCAGUCCUGAAUCAUUCCUCAUAUCUAAUGUACAUGGUAGACGCUUAUGUUAAGGUUUGAUAAUUGUAAUUAUAUUCCUUUUAUUUGUUUUACUAGUGUAUGGAGGAGUAGCGAUUGUGUCCCUCUAUUUGAUGUAUACAUUUAAUUUACCUGAUAUCGGAUUUGCUUUUCUUUUGUAUGGCAGCGGCAAGGCUCUGGCUCCCUCUU